rnacentral:misc_RNA from 1 species
AAGUCGUAACAAGGUUUCCGUAGGUGAACCUGCGGAAGGAUCAUUAUUGAAUACUAUUAUUUUUAGUUUUCAACUUUUAAACCCCUUUGUUUACCUAUACCAUGUUGCUUUCACUGGACAGGUUAAUCAUGUUAUUUUACAUGUAACUGCCCUUUAGCUUGUUGCUCUUUUUAGUACAAGUUGGAGAGUUGCCAGUGAAUGAAAAUUAUACCUAAAACUCUUGAAUAAAAACAUUGUCUAACUUUUGUUUAUUGAAAAAUAAAAUAAAACUUUCAACAACGGAUCUCUAGGCUCUU